GGGGACGUGGCGUAACGGUAGCGCGUCGGAUUCCAGUCCUGGAAUCUCCCGAAGGUUGUGUGUUCAAAUCACACCGUCCUCA